UUGUUGAUCAUGAACCGAUACCAUGCUGGUGGCAAUGAGUGGUCACACACCAGGACCUGAGCAGACGUUCGCUGCAGCUCCAGCGAGUCAAACCUGGUGCUGCGGUAUGGGCUGCGGAGGAUGCGAUGUCCAGCUGGGGAGCACUCAGGAGCUGAAAGAUCAGCGAGCUAUGCACUGCUCCACAGAAGUAUGCAGAUAGAGGCAGCCAAGCAUCUCUUACCUGACGACCAAAAAGGUGUGAGGAAUGGCUAGCAGAGGAGGUGACAACAAGAAGUCCCUGCAAGAAAGAGAACCAAGACUUUGUGAAGGUAGAUCCCUCUGGGACUGGCCAACACCAGCACAAAUGCAUGUAGGUAAAAGGUAGCACAAAAGCCCUGGCA